UACCAGCACCCCGAGUGGUCGGGACGAUUAUUGGGCCUAAAGCGUCCGUAGCCGGUUCUUUACGUCCUCCGUUAAAUCCACCUGCUUAACAGAUGGGCUGCGGAGGAUACUAUAGAGCUAGGAGGCGGGAGAGGCAAGCGGUACUCAAUGGGUAGGGGUAAAAUCCGUUGAUCCAUUGAAGACCACCAGUGGCGAAGGCGGCUUGCCAGAACGCGCUCGACGGUGAGGGAUGAAAGCUGGGGGAGCAAACCGG
rnacentral:rRNA from 1 species